ACGUCCCUGCCCUUUGUACACACCGCCCGUCGCACCUACCGAUUGAAUCAUUCGGUGAGGAUCUCGGAUUUUGUUGCUUACGCUUCACGGCGUUUUCGACGAGAGAAGUCAUCCAAACCUCAUGAUUUAGAGGAAGGUGAAGUCGUAACAAGGUUUCCGUAGGUGAACCUGCGGAAGGAUCAUUACCGAAGAAUGGGUUACCGAACGAACCUCGUCUUCAUAGUCCUUAGCUGUCUUGUCUUUUGCCCACCACGCGGGCUUUUUUCUCUUUAUCGGGCACAUUUCUUCUGGGGUCGUGUGCAGGCGGAAUGGCUGCUUUGGAUAGGUGCUUCUGGAUGGCGGGCUGGAGCCAAUCGGGCUUCGGAGCGCUGGAUCUCUCUCUUCUUAUCGUAUACAUGUAUGUACGGUGUGCAUAGGUCAGGCAGGCUGGAGCCACGCAGCAAGGUUUGGAGCGCAACGGAACCCUGAAAGCUUUCCGGAGCAGCGCGCUAGAUCCUCGCAGCAUACGGAGCGCAGGGGAACCCUCCUCGGAGGGUUUCGGAGCGUUCUCUAUUCUGUGCGGGGUCAGGGGCGCGGCGCCGGAAUCCUUCUUCGUGGGUUGUCGGAGCGCACCAAAUCUUUCUUGCGGGUAGGCUCGUCGCAAAUGUCUUGCUGCGUACAUGUAUGUUUUAUGUAUACACUUCAUCAGGUGUCCCGGAGCCACGCUGUCGGCUUUGGAGCGCUGCUGAAGGGAGGGAUGGACGGAAGGACUGGAAGCUGCUGCUGCUUGCCGGAUGGGCCUUGCGAGAGGAACGCUCGGCUCGGAGAGAGGGGCUGUCGUGAGGGGGGUGUAAGGGAGCCGGGUCUGAUGGGGGGGAACACGUGAAAUGACUUGACACUUAUCGGUUGGGCGAGGGGCGUCUCGCCGAGCUCAGCGCAAUCAAACGCGCCGAGUCUCGAAUCAAAGCGUACUUCUUUUUACCCAAGCAACCUCUGAAUCUGAACUCAAAAGGAGGCGCGCGUCCCGCCGCGGACUGCCGCCUUCUCAACCUUUAACGUUGUAAAACUUUCAGCGACGGAUGUCUUGGCUCCCACAACGAUGAAGAACGCAGCGAAAUGCGAUACGUCUUGCGACUUGCAGAAUCCAGUGAAUCAUCAAAACUUUGAACGCAUCUUGCGCUUCCGGGAUAUGCCUGGGAGCAUGCUUGUCGGAGUGUCUGUUGACACCACUCGCCCCCCUUCCUUCUCCCCCGGGAUGAGGUUUUGGGGCGGACUCUGCGUGUUCCGGAGCGCGAGCUCCGAGUGCACCGAACCUCGUGAACGAGACCUCUACCGCCUUUGUUGCACAGAGUUGUUGACGGCGUGUUGCUUCGGCGGCGCGACUCUCUACUCGCCAAGUGUGACCUGUCAGCGCGGUGUUGUGUCACAACUGUUCCGGUCUUGCGGCCCUUUAGGUGGGGCUGCUCUAUCCCAACUUUCGUUCGGACCUCCGAUCAAGCAAGAGGACCCGCUA
rnacentral:misc_RNA from 1 species